UACGUAGGGUGCAGGCGUUAAUCGGAAUUACUGGGCGUAAAGCGUGCGCAGGCGGUUUGCUAAGACAGGUGUGAAAUCCCCGGGCUUAACCUGGGAACUGCGCUUGUAACUGGCAAGCUUGAGUGUGGCAGAGGGGGGUGGAAUUCCACGUGUAGCAGUGAAAUGCGUAGAGAUGUGGAGGAACACCGAUGGCGAAGGCAGCCCCCUGGGCUAACACUGACGCUCAGGCACGAAAGCGUGGGGAGCAAACAGG
rnacentral:rRNA from 1 species